rnacentral:misc_RNA from 1 species
GUAUUGUAUUGCGUUAAACGCGGCGCACAUCCCAUAAGACUUCACUACAGUGUGUGUGUGUAAAGACGUAGGACCACGGGAGGGAGACGACACGUCUCCCAGACCACAGAACUACAGAGGGUGCACAGGUGUGAGUGGAUGUGUGAACAGAGCGUGCACAUGCCCCCGUUUGAGGACCAGCGACAACUCGUGUUCGACAACUCAGUAAUGAUCCUUCCGCAGGUUCACCUACGGAAA